rnacentral:rRNA from 1 species
AACGAACGCUGGCGGCAUGCCUAACACAUGCAAGUCGAACGAGACCUUCGGGUCUAGUGGCGCACGGGUGCGUAACGCGUGGGAACCUGCCCUUAGGUUCGGAAUAACUCCCCGAAAGGGGUGCUAAUACCGGAUAAUGUCUUCGGACCAAAGAUUUAUCGCCUUUGGAUGGGCCCGCGUUGGAUUAGCUAGUUGGUAGGGUAAAAGCCUACCAAGGCGACGUUCCAUAGCUGGUCUGAGAGGAUGAUCAGCCACACUGGGACUGAGACACGGCCCAGACUCCUACGGGAGGCAGCAGUGGGGAAUAUUGGACAAUGGGCGAAAGCCUGAUCCAGCAAUGCCGCGUGAGUGAUGAAGGCCUUAGGGUUGUAAAGCUCUUUUACCCGGGAUGAUAAUGACAGUACCGGGAGAAUAAGCGCCGGCUAACUCCGUG